UACGUAGGGUGCAGGCGUUAAUCGGAAUUACUGGGCGUAAAGCGUGCGCAGGCGGUUUGCUAAGACAGGUGUGAAAUCCCCGAGCUUAACUCCGAAACUGCAUUCGAUACUGUCGUGCUUGAGGACUGGAGAGGAGACUGGAAUUCAUGGUGUAGCAGUGAAAUGCGUAGAGAUCAUGAGGAAGACCAGUGGCGAAGGCGGGUCUCUGGACAGUUCCUGACACUGAGACACGAAGGCCAGGGGAGCAAACGGG
rnacentral:rRNA from 1 species